rnacentral:rRNA from 1 species
AGCGAACGCUGGCGGCGUGCCUAACACAUGCAAGUCGAACGUGAAAAGGGAAACCUGUGCAAAGUGGCGUACGGGUGAGUAACGUGUAGGUAAUCUACCGCAGAAUCUGGAAUAACCUGUCGAAAGGCGGGCUAAUACUGGCUAGAGCGAGGGGACUCGUAAGAGAGUUUUUCGGGUAAGGGAGCCCGCAAGGGCCUUCGUUCUGCGAUGAGUCUAUGUCUCAUUAGCUAGUUGGUAAGGUAACGGCUUACCAAGGCGAUGAUGAGUAGCUGGGCUGAGAGGGAUAACAGCCACACUGGGACGUGAGCACGGUCCAGGAUUCCGCGGGAGGGAGCAGGGGGGGAUCUUUCGCAAAGGACGGAAGUCUGACGCAGGCACGCCGCGGGAGAGAACAAUGCCCUCGGGUUGGAAAGCUCUGUCGGGUGGGGCGAACAUGUUCAUAGUUAAUACCUAUGAGGACUGACGGUACCAGCAAAGGAAGCACCGGCUAACUCCGUG